CAGUAAGAUUGCCCUGGAAGUUUGAAAGGGGAGGUAGGUUGAACAUUUAUGGUAGGGAAAAAGAGGGAAGGAACUUGCCCACUUUGUUUGCAACUAAUAUUGGUUAUCUUGAAUCAUAAACCAAUCUAAAGCAGUAGUCUUCUUGAUUGGACCGUGUUGCAAAUUUUUCUUGGGAGGGAGGAAAGGAACACACACUAAUUCCGUUUUUUUUUUAAAUAACUGAUGUAACAUUCAAAAGCAAUGUUUUUUUUAUUUUUUGCUGUGACAGGUAACCUUGGAAGUUUAAAAAUGGACUCGACCACAUCUAACCUUGCACAUUUUGAAUUAUACUAUAUAACAUUCAAAAGCGAAAUAAAGUUCGUAU